GAGCUGUCCGGUAAUAGAAAGAAGCUGCAGAACCCUGUUGUCUUCAUCUUUUGUUUAACUCAUGCAACAUUUGAAAGCACGUUUGCCUACAAGAAAUAAAACUUAAGUUGUGAAAUGGCUUAUUAAUGAACUCAGAUGACAAGAAACCAAAACAGCGGGCCUGGCUGAAGGAUUCAUCCCUAGCCCUGAAAGCCAGCGGGGUCUUUCUGUAACAUCAAAGGCACAAACAAUUGAACCGACAUGGGGACUUAUUCUGUCCAGCAGCCCUGGUGGCCUCAGACCAUCCGAAGCAAGGGUAACCUACCAGAAAGCUGCUAGAUGUUCCCCACUACAGUGAAGGAUUAAACAAAGAAUGAAGAAGAAGUAGGACUCAAGAAGUAAAUGAUCCAACUCAAGAAAGAGAUGACCAAGUGGAAUACCUUUUAAAGGCUUCAAGACUUUUCUUUCCCACUCCUCCCUGCCCAUGCGAGGGAGGCUCCAUUUUAAAAUGUAACACACACACACAAAAAAACGGAUUUGAAAUAAGGCAUUAGCCUGAGGUAACUUACCCCCACCUUGGCUCCAGAGCAGCUUGGAUUUCCGAUUCUUUGAGCAGGUCAGUGAUUUGGGGAACCAGUAAAAGAGCCGGGCUAUUCUUCUGAAGGUCUCAUGAAAGUCACUUCUUAUGGCCAUAGCGAGAACCAGGAGUGUUCCAGAAUGACUCGCUACAGAG
rnacentral:lncRNA from 10 species